rnacentral:rRNA from 1 species
GACGAACGCUGGCGGCGUGCUUAACACAUGCAAGUCGAACGGAAAGGCCUGCUUUCCCUUGUGUAUUGCGGGUACUCGAGGGGCGAACGGGCGAGGAACACGUGAGCUAUCCGUCCCCUACUUGGUUAUAAGCUUGGGAAAAUGGGUCUUAUUCCCGUUAGUACUGCAGGGUGGUGCCUGUUGUGGAAAACGUUUGUUUAGUGGUUGGGGAUGAGCUCGCGGCCUAUCAGCUUGUUGGUGGGGUAAUGGCCUACCAAGGCGGCGACGGGUAGCCGGCCUGAGAGGGUGGACGGCCACAUUGGGACUGAGAUACGGCCCAGACUCCUACGGGAGGCAGCAGUGGGGAAUAUUGCACAAUGGGCGGAAGCCUGAUGCAGCGACGCCGCGUGGGGGAUGACGGCCUUCGGGUUGUAAACUCCUUUCGACCGCGAGGAAGCCACCUGGUUGGAAGGGUGGUGACGGUAGUGGUAGAAGAAGCACCGGCUAACUACGUG